CCGUCGGCCCCUCGCGACACUAACCUGAAAACCCCGCCAGGGCCGGAAGGCAGCAACGGUAUCAGGUGACGUGGGUGCCGAGGAUCGUUGGCGGGGC
rnacentral:SRP_RNA from 1 species